UACGUAGGGGCUAGCGUUGUCCGGAAUCAUUGGGCGUAAGAGCGUGUAGGCGGCCCGGUAAGUCCGCUGUAAAAGUCAAAGGCUCAACCUUUGAAUGUCAGUGGAUACUGCCGGGCUAGAGUCCGGAAGAGGCGAGUGGAACUCCUGGUGUAGCGGUGGAAUGCGCAGAUAUCAGGAAGAACACCAACGGCGAAGGCAGCUCGCUGGGACGGUACUGACGCUGAGGAGCGAAAGCGUGGGGAGCGAACAGG
rnacentral:rRNA from 1 species